GGGCGGGGCGACCCGGGAAUCUCUGUACCCGCCGCGCGAGCGGGGAGCCCAGGCCGGGGAAAAGGCAGGAAGCGCCGACUUCAGACGCCUCCCGCAGACGAGCAACGCAGUGUGGCCACGGGCCCCCGCUCCCAGGUCGGCGCCGACCACGGAGGGCGAGCAGACGGGGCGCAGCGGCUGCUUCUAGGCUCCAGGAAGGGGAGCGGAGCCGCCCGGACGGCCCGUCACCUGCUCCGACCGCCGCUGCAGAGGGCUCUCCCCACCAAGGGACUGGGGCCGCGGCCCGGAACGGGACCUGCGAGUUUCGGCCGCCGCCUGCCAAGAUUUGGAGCCACGAACAUGCUCCCCAGAAUCAAGCGAAGAAUUUGUUAAACCGGGUUUCCCACCUGCGCCCCCAUCCCAGCGAAGAACGCUCGAUUCUAGGGACGCCAGCCGCCCGAGCACAGCCACCCCACGUUCCCAGGCGGGCACAUUGUUAAGAUCAGCGGGCCUUCGUACAAACAUCUUGACUGUGGCUGGUAAUGAAGAUGAGUCUCCUGUCUGUGGGGCGCCUGGUUAGCCACCACUAUGCCCAGUCCACCCCGUCCACCCUGCUACAAGCGGAGGCCAAGAACCGGGAGUAUGCAAGACAUUGCUCUCCAAUCUGAGUGAAAUUCCAGCUGUGGCCCUGGAAGCCAUGUGGAGAUGUGGGUGCAUUCCUUCAGCUACAGGCACAGAAGCCAGUUCACUUGGCCACUGAAGGUCCUGUUUCCGUGUGAUGUGGAGCCUGAUGAAUAUGUGGCCUCCCCUCUAGGAAUACGCCUGGGCUGCCUUUGCACACACUUACUUCAGCUGGCCUUGAACUCAAAGAUAAUCGCUUCUGUAACAAGCGAAUCACAGCCUCUCCUCCCUGUGCAAACAAGAGAACUAGGUAUGUACUACUCAGAGGCUAGUAAAAUCCCUCUGUCAGUUUUCCCUUUCCUUUCUUCUACGUACUCAUUAUAGAGCAUAUGUUUAAAGAGUCCCCUUCUUCACUGUAAUCAGCCUCCCCCUCCUUCCUGAUUCAUUUGUGGAAGGGAUUGUGGGGCCACAAGCAUCAGAGUCUUCCCUGAAUGAUUCAGGCCAGCUGAGCUCACUGUUUAGCUCGGCAAUUACCCAAGAUAUUAGUGACUAAAUGGCCCAGACACUCUUAUGGAGGAAGCACAGCCAUGAGCCACAGCAUUGAAGGAGUUUCAAUUGCUGCAGGCAGGCCUUGGAGAGCAAUGACCAGAGUUGACUUCAGGUGGCUGCAGGGCCUUCCUCAGUGGCACUGGCAGACGGGGACCCAAAGGGAAAAUAGUAAAGGGUGCCUGGCACAGUAGGAUGGCAAAGGUCAGAUGUCAUCUGUGUGUGAGAGAGAAAGAGAGAGAGGUUUUAUAAAGGGCUCUGGAGAACUGUGUUUAGGCAGAGUGAGGAGAUUUUAAUGUGUUAAGGGAUUUAGGAAAAGAAAUUUAAUCCAAAGUAAGGUAUUGUCCAAGGAUCCGCCCCCGCUGAGGCCUCAGCUAUUAGUGUAUUCCUUAUCUCUAGCCAAAGAAAAAUAGGAAACCUUAUGCUGAAUCCAUUUUCAUGGUUUUCAUCACCAGCAUAAUGGGUGGGGCAAGAAGCCAUAGAGGCAUUUUCUUUGUCCUCAGCUACCUGGGUAAUUUUCACGGACAGUGUUGUCCAAAGACGGUCUGACCGUCUGCUUAACAUCUUCCAUCCCCCAGCUCUCAGGUCUGCCUUGGGAAUGCAUGUUGAUAUUGUGUAUUAAGCUUGACUCCUUCCUUCCUGAGAGAGAUCACAGGAUGGGUGUAAAGCCCAGUAAAAGUUUGAAGGUUGAUGGUUCCACUGGUGAUCUAAGCAGCUACAAAGACUGGUCAGAGUCUCUAAGACUUGGAGAUGAAAGAAAUUCUCCCCAAGCUCAGAGGAAAA